rnacentral:rRNA from 1 species
UACGUAGGGCGCAAGCGUUGUUCGGAAUUACUGGGCGUAAAGCGUACGUAGGCGGCUUGGCAAGUUAGAGGUGAAAGCCCGGAGCUCAACUCCGGAAUAGCCUUUGAGACUGCCUCGCUUUAACGUCGGAGAGGUGAGUGGAAUUCCGAGUGUAGAGGUGAAAUUCGUAGAUAUUCGGAAGAACACCAGUGGCGAAGGCGGCUCACUGGACGACUGUUGACGCUGAGGUACGAAAGCGUGGGGAGCAAACAGG